CCCCGGCGGGAGGGCCGCUCUGUGCGCGCCCGCUCUAUGAUGCUUGCGCGCGUCCCCCGCGCGCCGCGCCGCGGGCGGGGCGGGUCUCCGGGAUUCCAAGGGCUCGGUUACGGAAGAAGCGCAGCGCCGGCUGGGGAGGGGGCUGGAUGCGCGCGCACCCGGGGGGAGGCCGCUGCUGCCCGGAGCAGGAGGAGGGGGAGAGCGCGGCGGGCGGCAGCGGCGCUGGCGGCGGCUCCGCCAUCGAGCAGGGGGGCCCGGGCUGCGCGCUCGCCCCGUCCCCGGUGAGCGGCGCGCGCAGGGAGGGCGCGCGGGGCGGCGGCCGUGGCCGGGGGCGGUGGAAGCCGGCGGGCCGGGGCGGCGGCGGCGGCGGCGUCUGUGGCCGUGGCCGGGGCCGGGGCCGUGGCCGGGGACGGGGCCGGGGCCGGGGCCGGGGCCGCGGCCGUCCCCCGAGCGGCGGCGGCGGCCUUGGCGGCGACGGCGGCGGCGGCGGAGGCGGCGGAGGAGGCGGCGGCGGCGCCCCCCGGCGGGAGCCGGUCCCUUUCCCGUCGGGGAGCGCGGGGCCAGGGCCCCGGGGACCCCGGGCCGCGGAGAGCGGGAAGAGGAUGGACUGCCCGGCCCUCCCCCCCGGAUGGAAGAAGGAGGAAGUGAUCCGAAAAUCUGGGCUCAGCGCCGGCAAGAGCGAUGUCUACUACUUCAGUCCGAGUGGUAAGAAGUUCAGAAGCAAACCUCAGUUGGCAAGGUAUCUGGGAAAUACUGUUGACCUCAGCAGUUUUGACUUCAGAACUGGAAAGAUGAUGCCUAGUAAAUUACAGAAGAACAAACAGAGACUGCGGAAUGAUCCUCUCAAUCAGAAUAAGCUGCGCUGGACUUCUCGUCAUCCUGCACCGUGGCAUGUGCUUUCAAGACUCUGCUUGCUCAUGUGCUGUUUCCUCUGCUUGGAAUGUGCUUCCCCCCUUCCCCUCCAUCUGGUGACCUGCUCCUCAUCCAAGGCCCAGCUCCAUUGUCUCCAUCUCUGUGAAGCCUGCCCUGCACCCUCCGCCCGGAGCCAGGCCUCCUCCCGUAGGCCUCCCUGGUGCUUGGCCACGAGGUCUGUGGCUGUCGGUCUGCUGCAGCUAGACUGAGCUCCACGAGGGCAAGGCCCAUGUCUCUCGUUUUGCUUUGUUUUGGUAUAUGUAUAUAAUCCAAAGCCUGGCACACGGUUCAUGGCAGAUUGGUAGUUAUUUAGAAAAACUCAGACAACUGGGUGUGAAUUAACAGUGACUCUUUUGACAGUCCUCAGGAGAGAAUGGUAAUAAAAUUUACUUUUUUUGUGACAGUUUCUGGGUAAACCAGUUAGUUCAGCUUCUCAGGUUAUUUUACAUGAUACUAUUGUAGAAUAUCUGGGUCAGGAAGAGCCCCUGGAGAAGGAAAUGGCAACCCACUCCAGUACUCUUGCCUGGGAAAUCCCAUGGACAGAGGAGCCUGGUAGCCUACAGUCCAUGGGGUUGCAAAGAGUUGGACACGACUGAGCGACUACUUUACUAUUGUAGAAUACAGAAUUAAUUAGUAAAAAAUUCUUUCUUCAGGGCUUUCAGGCCAGUUUAAAAGAGGAAAAAUGAUAAAAUAUAAAUAAGAUCAACAGAAGAGCAAUGCUGCAUACUCUUGAAAAAUCUCGCUCUGCUUCCCUGGGCAGUAAGCUGUCAUUGUUAGACAGUGACAUUUUUUAACCAAUAGGUUAAUUUUUUAUUGUAUCACAAACAUAAUGAAAAAAAAAAAUUAGUCUUAGCAUUGUAGCACCAGUAGUUUUACAUGUUUCAUGCUUCCUUCCAGUCUGUGUGGAUUCAGGAUUUUAUAGUUUUUUCCUUUUAUAGUUUUGAAUAGUUUAAACUAGUCUCUGCUUCCUCCAGUCAUUCUUUGUAACAGAACCUUACAGGCUCGACUGUGUUUGUUCAUACAAAUAGUUGCUCUGUAUUUCUUUGUCUACUGAUCCCAUCUUUGUUCUAAUACCAGCAGAGUAUAUUAUUCUUUGUUAAAGUACAGAAACGUUAAAAACCAAGCAAGGUAUUGUUUUGUGGUAGAUACUGCUUAUAACAAAUUAGUGGCAGGAAGAGUUCUUUGUAAGCCAUUAUGUGUUAAGCGUCUUUUGGACUGAAUACUGACUGAUACAGGUUGGUUGGCUUCACUCAGGGUCUUAGAAUGCUCUUGAUGUCAUAAAUCAGAGGGAUCCAAACCUUCUGCACAUCACAGAAUUACCAAGAGAGUUUUAAAACUACACAUUCCUGGGCCUCACGCUCUUUAGAGAUGGAAUCCUAAGUGGUUAUUUUGCAGCCUGUUGGCCAAGUUUCCACACCUGUAAAUCAAGUUUU